GGAACUUCAGAUCUGCCAGGGAGGUCUAUUUUACACUUGCACAAAUCCUAGGCAGCCUAGUCUGCUAGAACUUCAAGAGUUUUGGACCUCCUUUAGUUGUCAUCAACAUUACAAGCUUAAAAAGGUGCAUCUCAUAUCAUCUUAGGGGGCAGCCGUUCAAUGAAAUACUUGAUGAGUUCCACCAAUCAUUGGUUUUUGCCAUAGAUAUUCUCAUGCUCUCCUAGCCAUACAAAAAAGGCAAUAAACUGACCACUAUCCGAGACGAGGUCCGAGUGCUGUGGAGGAAAAUUACUAACAAUCCCGACCCCAUCGUCAACUUCAACACAUCUGAGUCAUCCUACACUCACAUCCUUGAUUCGAUGGCUCGAUUUUUCUGCCUUCUCUGGCAUUAUGGUCUCGUCUAUAGAGACAAGGGGGAGCGUGGUCACCACGACAUCCUUAAGGAAGAACUCAUCUUCCUCCUCACGAUCAGAAAGAAACGACCACUCCACAUCUGUUGGGAAGAUGGUGGCACUACCAAGCGUUUUGUUUGUAUCUUGGUUGGUCCAACCGAAGGGCUUCCAGAACAGGUGGGAUGGGGUGCCUGGACGUCCUGCACCAGAGACAAAGUGGCUUUGAGCCAACAUCCUUCAGCGACAAGAAGACAUCGAUCUUGACCUCAAACUACUCGAUUCAAAGAUUAUCCUCGCUCGCCAUGCAUGCUAUGAAGUUUCGAAAGCUCAGCGGGACAUGCACCACUACAGGUAGGGGUGGAGGCCGUAACCGUAGAGGGAACAGACAUGGAGCAGCUACUGCUCUGGGCGAUUAGGAGAUUCCAUCAUUGCAGGACUUUCAGUAGCCAACACCAUUCCUGCUACCACCGCCAGUUUAGAUGUGGGAGGGUAUCCAGCAGUGGCAGAGGGUGUGGGCGCUACCACCGCCAGUUUAGAUGUGGGAGGUUAUCCAGCAGUGGCAGAUGUCUUGGCAGUUUACCCUGGUAGCACCAGUAACAAAUUGCUGGCAGACAUCAUUUUCUCAAGGGCAGCUUCAAGGGCAAGCGACUUGGUAGUAUUAUCAGGAUACGCAACAGGGCAGAAGGCCCAAAGAUGGUACUUUGAACAAUAGUAGAAGAAAGAGCAAGAGCAGUACACCAAGUAUAUGAUGUACCUCUGCUACCUCACUCCCCAUAAGCUCGGGUUGGAUUACUCUCCACCUUCUCCUCCUCGUGGAGACCAGUGACCAGGUUCCUUGAUUCUUGUAGGACUUUUUCAUUACUUUCUUUUUCUGAUCUUAAAUCCAAUUUUAUUCUAUGUGGGAAUUGGGCACUUGUCCUAGUUCAUAAAUUACUUUUUUUUUGUUGGUAUGUUUUUGUCUGUUUCAUGAGUUAGUGUCGCCAUCGAGUUUGAGCUCGUGCAUCAUGCUCUCUUGUCUCUUUGGUUUCUCACAACUUCCAGGUAUGCCUGUGCUGCUUCUCUAUUUUGUUUAGUGAGGACACAAUAGAAACUAAGUGUGGGGUGCAUAUGCAUUGGAUGUCCGUUAGCUAGUUGAUGGCGUUCUUUUUGUCAUGUGUAUCAUCUCCAUUUAAGCAAAAUUUGAUGCAUAAUUUUUUAAUUUGGGUAGAGGGUUAGGGUGUUUUUUACGUUUUAAUCUUUUAUCUUGAUUUAGUGUCUCAGACCCAAUCAGGGUCCAUUUGAUGUCAUUUUGGAGUGUUUUUUUAUAGAUUUCAGGUACUUAACG
rnacentral:lncRNA from 1 species